UAUUUGCCUCUCAUGUAGAAAAUUAGACACAGAAACCCCGUAUUUGUGAUUUACUUAGAAGUAAACUGCCAUCAAUUUCAUAUGAAAUGUAUAGUAAGCUCCUCGAUCUAUAAAUUGGCAUAAACAAUGGAAGUCCUUUAAAAAAUGGGAUGGGACACAUUCAAGGUCCAACUAGAUAUACACAAACAAUUCAUAGAUUGACAAGGAUUGGAGACCACCAGUUUAGAGAAGGCUUGGAAUAUCAGAGGUAUAAAAUUUCUGCCGGCUCUUUUUUUUUUUUUUAAAUCUUGAGGAAGCCCUGCAAUCUCUAAUCCUUAACCAUGGCUUUUCUGUAGAUAGUUCCCAAGUCCUCACUAUUCCCAGAAUUUAAGGCCUGAUUUUCCAGCUUCUUGAUGUAUAUAGUCACCUGUGCGUCCCACUGAAGUCUCAAACUCAACAUACUCUACACUGAGUUGAUCAUUGUCUCUCCCAGACUUGCUUGCCCUUCUUUUUGUUAAAGGCAUCACCAUCCUCCCUCAAUCCGAGGCCAACCCCGGGCCACCAAAGCAGAACAUGUGCACUUAACCACUGCGCCACCGGGCCGGCCCCUGGAGCUUACAUUCUUAUGGAGGAAGACAAACCUAAACCAGUAGACAGAUAAUUUCAGAUUGUGAUAAGUGCUAAGGAAACUACACGUGGUGCUAUGGUCUGAAUCUUUGUGUGCUCCCCAAAUGCACGUGUUGGAAUCCUAACACCCAAUGUGAUGGUGUUAGGAGGAGGUGGGGCCCUUUGGAGGUGAUUUGGUGAUUAGGCCCUCAUAAGUGGGAUUAGUGCUCUUAUAAUCCCAGGGAGCUCCCUCGCCCUUUCCACCACGGGAGGAUACAGCGGGAAGUCUACAACCCGGAAGAAGGCCCUCAGCUGACCGUCCAGGCUCCAACACGGUGAGAAGUGAAUUUCUGUUGUUUGUAAGCCAGCCUGUCUGUGCUACUUUGUUGCAGCAGCCUGCACAGACUUAGAUUCACGCAGGUGUAAUAACGAUCGCUAUUGCAGGGAGUGACUCUUUUACACAGAGUGGUCAGGGCAACGAAACUCGCCAGGAUCCUGAGUUUUGCUCCAUCUUCCUGCCGUUUCCCACCUGGACUUAUUCCUGCAAAAUCCUGCAGGACUUGCUUUCAGAGCCGGUGCUGCACGUGCAGUCGUUGGAACGAUCCUAAAGAUUGUUGUCCUUUUCUCUUCCUGCCUGGCUCUCCAACCAGACAGCACAUAAAACUUUGUUUGCAUGACCCUAUAGGAAUUGGGGGGACUGGGGUGGUGGAGCUUGGGCAGAGCGAGGUGAUCCGGUCUGUGAUCAGUUGAUUUCUGUCUCCAGAUGCACCCACAUCAUCUCCUUUUCCAUCCAGCACACGCAGAAUCCCACAAGCUGGGCCUGGUCCCUGCAUCAUUGCUUUACGCCCCCCUGGGCAACUCUCUCUACCAGGCUUCUGGGCUGAAGUCCAGGGCAGCUCUUCUGAGCACUUAGCAAAAUGCCUGGCGCACAGUAGGCACACAACAAAUAUUUCCUGAAUGAAUGACUUCUGACUUAAUCAUUUUGUACCUUACUUAGUGUCUCUGAAAUUGUAAGGGCUCCAUACAUUUUGAUGCUUCAGGGAGAGGCUUUAGUAUUUCUCCCCCUUUGUCUGAUUCUUCUAAAUUCAAAAAAUAUCUUCACAGCUGCUCUUUCCACAAAACUUCUGUGAAGCUGGUUAUUUUUUAUUUAAAAAAAGAAAACAUAUGUAGUGUCUACUAUAUGCCACUAGAUAUUCUAAGCACUUUACGAAAGGUAACAUUUAAUCUUCAUACCAACGCUGGGAGGUAGGUCCUGUUAUUGUCUCCAAUUUACAGAAGAACAAACCGAGGCACAGAGAGGUCAAGUAAUUUUCCCAAAGUCGCACAGCCAAUAAAUGGCAAAGCUGGAAUUUAAACCCAGCCAGGCUGGCUUCAAAGUGUAUGCUCUUAGCUGUUAUGCUAUAACCUUUCUCUUUGCUCCACUGAGGAGGAAAUAGCUGGCAAAGGGAGGACAGAAGGUUAUUGUUGAUUGAACCUCUGCUAGGUUCCAGGUACUGUGCCAGGUCACCUCAGUUAAGCUUCAAAAUUGGAUAUUAGCUCAAAUUUGUAGAUUGAAAAAUUGUGACUCAAAGAGGUUAAGUGACUUACCUAAGGUUAUACAGAGAGUCAGUGGCAGAGUUGGGAUUCAAACUCAGAUCUGUCUGGUUGCGAUGUCUGUGUAUUUCCCCUUCUCUGUGCCAAAUGGCAGCUAAUAAACGCAGGCCCAGAAUUAGAACCUUGGCUCCCGUCUGGAUGCCUCAUGCUUGUUCCACAGGACCGGGAUGCAGUCUCCAUAAUUUUGCUCUACUAGACAAGCAGCUUUCUCAAGGCCAGUGUGGUGGUUCUUUGCAUCUCUGCUUAGAGACACUGGUCAGGCCAGGCCUCGCGAUGAGCCAGCGCUUGGUUAGAUAUCAGAACAGACUGCUCAGCCUCUCGAAAACACCUUUCCUUGACCAUAAGAUGGGGACACUAACAUUCGUGCCUCCUGCCCUGGUGGGCUAUGGCAGAGAUCUAACGACGUUAUGUUUGUGAAAGGGAUUUGAAGACUGUGAGAGUCUGUGAAGGAAACAUGGACCAGUGUGGUGCUUGAAGACAAACGCUGGGGAACCAAGGACAAAAACCUGGCAGAGCACCGCUGCAGCAAUUUUCAGUGAUCUCUCUGCAGAAACCCGGUAAUGAAGGGAUUAUCCUCUCAUUUUACAGACGAAGAAACUGAGGCUCGGAAAAGUUAAGCAACUUGGCUAAAGCCCAAUGAUUGGAAACUGGAGCCAGGAUUCAUUCUCAAUUGUAACUCCAAAGCCCAAAUAUCAUCCUGAUGAUUGUACUAAACUAUAUGGAAGUAAUUGCUUUAAACUUUCCCUUUUAUUUCUGGUGGGUUUUAUAGUCUUUGCUGGUGUUUAUCAAUCAUAAAACUAUGGGCAUCAGGCAGAUUGUAAAAAAGGCGACCUGGUGUUGGCUCAGGAAUAUACCUUAGCGGUUGGAAUGAG
ensembl:lncRNA